GAUGAACGCUGGCGGCGUGCCUAACACAUGCAAGUCGAGCGGCAGCGAGGGGUGCUUGCGCCCUGUCGGCGAGCGGCGGACGGCUGAGUAACGCGUGGGAACGUGCCCCAAAGUGAGGAAUAACUGCCCGCAAGGGUAGCUAAUACCGCAUAUUAUCUUCGGAUCAAAGGAUUUAUCCGCUUUGGGAGCGGCUCGCGUCGGAUUAGGUAGUUGGUGAGGUAAUGGCUCACCAAGCCGACGAUCCGUAGCUGGUCUGAGAGGAUGACCAGCCAGACUGGAACUGAGACACGGUCCAGACUCCUACGGGAGGCAGCAGUGAGGAAUCUUCCACAAUGGGCGAAAGCCUGAUGGAGCAACGCCGCGUGCAGGACGAAGGCCUUCGGGUUGUAAACUGCUUUUAUAAGUGAGGAAUAUGACGGUAACUUAUGAAUAAGGAUCGGCUAACUACGUG
rnacentral:rRNA from 1 species